CCUACGGGAGGCUGCAGUGGGGAAUAUUGGGCAAUGGACGCAAGUCUGACCCAGCAACGCCGCGUGAAGGAAGAAGGCUUUCGGGUUGUAAACUUCUUUUAAGGGGGAAGAGCAGAAGACGGUACCUCUUGAAUAAGCCAUGGCCAACUACGUGCCAGCAGCCGCGGUAAUACGUAGGUGGCAAGCGUUGUCCGGAUUUACUGGGUGUAAAGGGCGUGCAGCCGGGAAGACAAGGCAGAUGUGAAAUCCCGCGGCUCAACCGCGGAACUGCAUUUGAAACUGUUUUUCUUGAGUGUCGGAGAGGUAAUCGGAAUUCCUAGUGUAGCGGUGAAAUGCGUAGAUAUUAGGAAGAACACCAGUGGCGAAGGCGGAUUACUGGACGGCAACUGACGGUGAGGCGCGAAAGCGUGGGGAGCGAACAGGAUUAGAUACCCGUGUAGUC
rnacentral:rRNA from 1 species